CUCCAACGGCUUCUUGUGUUCAAGUGAGCAGCGAAACUGGUCCCCUCUUGCUCUUUGAGCUGAGGUUGCCAGAAGAACAAGAAAUGAAAUUUAAGUUGGUUUGGGGUGUGCUGCUCAUCAGACAUAGAAAACAGAAUUCUGGUGUCUCACAGAGGCCUUUCAAAAUGCACCUCAAGGAACAAAGCAUAUGCCACCUUCCUCGGCAGAUCCCAGAGCCAACAUCAACCAGAAAGAGGGCUCGCAUACGGAGAACACUUGUGAUGGAGUGCCAACUUUUCGUGCCGCUUUGCAUAGCCAGCUUACAUUUAGGGCUCCUAUUAACUUGAAAGAGAGUUCCAGGUGCAUUCAAGUUCUGCUGAAGAAAUGGAAAUUUGGAAGCUUUAUUAUUAGCUUAGGCCAUUUUCAACUCACGUGCUACCAUCCUCAAACCACUAACAUUUCAAAUGCUAUCUCUACUCUAAAGCCUACUCUGAGCCCAUCGUGA
rnacentral:lncRNA from 12 species